AGUGAACGCUGGCGGUAGGCCUAACACAUGCAAGUCGAACGGCAGCACAGUAAGAGCUUGCUCUUACGGGUGGCGAGUGGCGGACGGGUGAGGAAUACAUCGGAAUCUACUUUUUCGUGGGGGAUAACGUAGGGAAACUUACGCUAAUACCGCAUACGACCUACGGGUGAAAGCAGGGGAUCUUCGGACCUUGCGCGAUUGAAUGAGCCGAUGUCGGAUUAGCUAGUUGGCGGGGUAAAGGCCCACCAAGGCGACGAUCCGUAGCUGGUCUGAGAGGAUGAUCCGCCACACUGUAACUGAGACACGGUCCAGACUCCUACGGGAGGCAGCAGUGGGGAAUAUUGGACGAUGGGCGCAAGCCUGAUCCAGCCAUACCGCGUGGGUGAAGAAGGCCUUCGGGUUGUAAAGCCCUUUUGUUGGGAAAGAAAAGCAGCAGGUUAAUACCCCGCUGUUCUGACGGUACCCAAAGAAUAAGCACCGGCUAACUUCGUG
rnacentral:rRNA from 1 species